GUGGGGAAUCUUGCGCAAUGGGCGAAAGCCUGACGCAGCGACGCCGCGUGGAGGAUGAAGGUCUUCGGAUUGUAAACUUCUGUUAAGUGGGAAGAAAGGGCUGUUUUUAAUAGAAGCAGUUAAUGACGGUACCAUUAAAGAAAGCACCGGCUAAACUCGUGCCAGCAGCCGCGGUAAUACGAGUGGUGCAAGCGUUAUUCGGAAUAAUUGGGCGUACAGGGUGUGUAGGCGGUAUGUUAAGUCUGUUGUUAAAGACUCCGGCCUAACCGGAGACAGGCAGAGGAAACUGGCGUACUAGAGGGUGGAAGAGAGAAGUGGAAUUCUCGGUGUAGCGGUAAAAUGCGUAGAUAUCGAGAGGAACACCGAUGGCGAAGGCAGCUUCUUGGUCCAUACCUGACGCUGAAACACGAAAGCGUGGGGAGCAAACAGGAUUAGAAACCCCAGUAGUCC
rnacentral:rRNA from 1 species